rnacentral:rRNA from 1 species
UUAGGGAUUUUGCACAAUGGCCGAAAGGCUGAUGCAGCAACGCCGCGUGGGGGAAGAAGGUCUUCGGAUCGUAAACCUCUUUUCUGGGGGAAGAUAGUGACGGUACCCUGGGAAUAAGCCCCGGCUAACUACGUGCCAGCAGCCGCGGUAAUACGUAGGGGGCGAGCGUUGUCCGGAUUUAUUGGGCGUAAAGAGCGCGUAGGCGGCUCUUCGAGUCGUGCGUGAAAUACUCCGGCUCAACCGGAGUGAGCCGUGCGAUACUGGAGGGCUUGAGGUCGGAAGGGGGAAGUGGAAUUCCCGGGUGUAGUGGUGGAAUGCGUAGAUAUCGGGAGGAACACCAGUGGCGAAGGCGGCUUUCUGGACCGAUGCUGACGCUGAGGCGCGAAAGCGUGGGAAGCAA